rnacentral:lncRNA from 1 species
AAAACUUGAAAAAUAACAAGGCAAGCGGCGAUGACCUGAUUAUAAACGAAUUCUUCAAAGCUACGUCUGCUUCAACAGAAAUCAUUAAUAUCUUUGUAAAGUUAUUCAAUCUUAUAUUUGAUACAGGAAUCAUACCAGACAGUUGGUUAUCUGGAAAUAUACACCCUUUAUUCAAAAAUAAAGGCAAUCAACAAGACCCGCAAAACUAUAGACCUAUCACUAUUCUUAGCUGUUUUGGAAAACUGUUUACGUCCAUCCUAAAUGAACGAUUAACGAAAUAUUUCGACACCUUUUCAAUAAUACAUAACAAUCAAAGUGGCUUUAGGAAAAAAUAUUCAACAACAGAUAACAUAUUUAUAUUACAAAGCCUAUUCGACCUAGCUAGAUCGCAAAAGAAAAAGUUAUUCUGUGUUUUUAUUGAUUUUGCUAAGGCGU